rnacentral:rRNA from 1 species
UGAACGCUGGCGGUAUGCUUAACACAUGCAAGUCGAACGGAAACGAUACUAGCUUGCUAGUAGGCGUCGAGUGGCGGACGGGUGAGUAACGCGUAGGAAUCUGCCUGAUAGUGGGGGAUAGCCCGAAGAAAUUCGGAUUAAUACCGCAUAAUCUAUUCGUAGUAAAGUGGGGGACUUUCGAGCCUCACGCUAUCAGAUGAGCCUGCGUAAGAUUAGCUAGUUGGUAGGGUAAAAGCCUACCAAGGCAACGAUCUUUAGCUGGUCUGAGAGGAUGAUCAGCCACAUCGGGACUGAGACACGGCCCGAACUCCUACGGGAGGCAGCAGUGGGGAAUAUUGGACAAUGGGGGCAACCCUGAUCCAGCAAUACCGCGUGUGUGAAGAAGGCCUGAGGGUUGUAAAGCACUUUCAAUUGUGAAGAAAAGUUAACGGUUAAUAACCGUUAGCCUUGACGUUAACUUUAGAAGAAGCACCGGCUAACUCCGUGCCAGCAGCCGCGGUAAUACGGAGGGUGCAAGCGUUAAUCGGAAUUACUGGGCGUAAAGCGUGCGUAGGCGGUUUAUUAAGUCAGAUGUGAAAGCCCCGGGCUUAACCUGGGAACUGCAUUUGAAACUGGUCAACUAGAGUAUGGUAGAGGAAAGUGGAAUUUCUGGUGUAGCGGUGAAAUGCGUAGAUAUCAGAAGGAACAUCAAUGGCGAAGGCAGCUUUCUGGACCAAUACUGACGCUGAGGUACGAAAGCGUGGGUAGCAAACAGGAUUAGAUACCCUGGUAGUCCACGCCGUAAACGAUGAUAACUAGCCGUUGGGGGGAUUUACCCUUUAGUGGCGAAGCUAACGCGUUAAGUUAUCCGCCUGGGGAGUACGGCCGCAAGGUUAAAACUCAAAGGAAUUGACGGGGACCCGCACAAGCGGUGGAGCAUGUGGUUUAAUUCGAUGCAACGCGAAGAACCUUACCUGGUCUUGACAUCCUGCGAACUUUCUAGAAAUAGAUUGGUGCCUUCGGGAACGCAGUGACAGGUGCUGCAUGGCUGUCGUCAGCUCGUGUCGUGAGAUGUUGGGUUAAGUCCCGUAACGAGCGCAACCCCUAUCCUUAUUUGCCAGCACGUCAUGGUGGGAACUAUAAGGAGACUGCCGGUGAUAAACCGGAGGAAGGCGGGGACGACGUCAAGUCAUCAUGGCCCUUACGACCAGGGCUACACACGUGCUACAAUGGGAAGGACAAAGAGCCGCGAAGCCGCGAGGUGUAGCUAAUCUCAGAAACCUUUUCGUAGUCCGGAUUGGAGUCUGCAACUCGACUCCAUGAAGUCGGAAUCGCUAGUAAUCGUAGAUCAGAAUGCUACGGUGAAUACGUUCCCGGGUCUUGUACACAC